rnacentral:tRNA from 1 species
GCCGGGUUGAUGGAAGGGUAGACAUGAUCGCCUCAAAAGCGAUUGUCCGAAAGGACGUGCGGGUUCGAAUCCCGCACCCGGCACCU